GUUGCUGGUGGAAAUAGUGGGAUUGGUGGUGGGAUUAGUGAGGGAGGAGUGAAAAUGGAGGGAGUGGUUAUCACCGAGUGGAAAGAUAUCCCUAUUGAGCUCUUGCUGCGAAUUGUUUCUCUUGUUGAUGAUCGGACCGUGAUAAUGGCUUCUGGGGUUUGCAGUGGGUGGAGGGAUGCUCUCUGCUUGGGCCUCACCCAUCUCUCUCUCUCCUGGUAUUGAUCUCUCGUCCUCUCUUAGCAGAUUUACUUCUAAUUCGUGGCUUAUGUCAUCUAUGAAUUCUUAGUCGUGUUGGUGAAUUAGGAUUCUGAAUUUAUAUACUUGUUUCAGGAUUUCUAAAACAUUCUUGUGUGCUCGUGUUCUUUAUGGACUGCUUCUUAGAUGCCCAGAAUUUGUUCUUCAUGGUAUUUCCUAAGUUUUUAUACUGGUUAUUAUUGGAUCAAAAUUUUAUACGCUUGAAUUUCUUGAGGUUCUAUUAGUUUUAUGCCAUAUUCAAUUCAUACAUCCCUUUUCUUCCAAUAUCCAUUAUUGCAGCCUUGAUACAUCUUUAAGCACCAUAUCAAUUCCUAAGAGUAGUUCUAUUUUCUUUUGGUGUCCUAUUAUAAAAUUUUUAUGGUUCUUUGGUAACAUGCAUCCCAUGGUAAGAAAGUAUUUAGAGUUAUGUGGAAGUACACCUUUUUCAAGCACAAAAGAUCAGGCUAAUCAUGCCAUUUUGUUGCGAUUGCUUCAGUCAUUCAUUGUGAUUUGUGUUAUACGCUUAUUCCUUUGAAGUCCUUAUGACCAAUACCAAAGCAACUCUCCUGGAUUCUGAGGUAAUAUGUGUUACGACUUGAAUUUGAAACUAAUUUGGGGAAAUUGAUUGCAAAUGGUAAUAGAUUAGAUGCCCGUGGCGUGUGCAAAAUUCAGUUUCAGACUAUAUGGUUGUUUGAUUGUUUGUGUUCAUUGAAUGAGUCUGUAGAAACAAGCAGGCAGUUAUAGGUUUGCUUGAAUGUCCUCAUAACUCCUAUAGAGAGGAAGGUGAGCUCUGUCAAGCCGUUAGAGAUGUCUUCAUGGGUUCUUAAGGUAUUUCUGAAAUAUAAUGUUGAGCCUUUUUGACAUCUUUGCUUUUUCCUUGGAAAUUAUUCAUGUUUCUCUGGUUAUAAUUAGGCUUUCUUCAAGGGCAGUGGCCAAAUAGCUACUUUGUGUUGUCAGUGAGAGGAUCAAACACCUGCUUCUACCUCUCAUGUACUUUCUGUGGGGGGAGGGGGGGGAGGAGGAAAAAAGUCGCAUAAGAGGCCUUAUUUUGAUAGUUAACCCUUUUUUUAAUUUUUCUUAAAUCAUUUUCGUUACAAGUGGCUCUAAAUGUAAAACAGCUUUCUUUGGGUGAGAGAGAUGUUAGAAAAAUGAUUUCCACCUUCUGCCUUCCCCAGUUCGAAGUUCCCUAAUAUCAUCUUAAUAAUUUUCGGUAUACUCUUUUUUUUUUUCAGGUGC
rnacentral:lncRNA from 1 species